AUGGCUCUGCUCGUCGUGCUUUCCCUCUUCACCUUUUUCUGCUCCAACCGACGGCGAGUGGCGCAGAGCUCGUCGCAGCAGGGCGUGGUCGACAUCGAGCUCGGGGACGGCAGGUGCGCUGCCGCCGCCGCGGGGCUCGACGAGGCCGUCAUGGCCGCGUGCCCGACGACGGUGUACUCCACGGCAAAGGAGGAGGAGCGCGGGUGCGCGGUGUGCCUGGCGGAGUACGCAGACGGCGACGAGCUGCGGGUGCUCCCCGGCUGCGCGCACGUGUUCCAUCGGCGGUGCGUCGACCAGUGGCUCCGGCGGCGGCCCAGCUGCCCGCUGUGCCGCACGUCGCCGCAGAGCACCACCAGUGCAUGCUAA
rnacentral:rRNA from 1 species